rnacentral:rRNA from 1 species
GACGGAGGAUGCAAGUGUUAUCCGGAAUCACUGGGCGUAAAGCGCCUGUAGGUGGUUUAACAAGUCCACUGUUAAAAAUUGAAGCUUAACUUCAAAGAUGCCGUGGAAACUUUUAAACUUGAGUAUGGUAGGGGUAGAGGGAAUUUCCAGUGGAGCGGUGAAAUGCGUAGAUAUUGGAAAGACCACCAAUGGCGAAGGCACUCUACUGGGCCAUUACUGACACUGAGAGACGAAAGCUAGGGGAGCAAAUGGG